GAUGAACGCUAGCUACAGGCUUAACACAUGCAAGUCGAGGGGUAACGAGAGGAAAGCUUGCUUUCCUUGUCGACGACCGGCGCACGGGUGAGUAACGCGUAUCCAACCUGCCCCCAACUAGGGAAUAACCUUGCGAAAGUAAGACUAAUACCCUAUAAUUUCCUCAGAUGUCAUCUGACGAGGAAUAAAGAUUUAUCGGUUGUGGAUGGGGAUGCGUCUGAUUAGCUUGUUGGCGGGGUAACGGCCCACCAAGGCAACGAUCAGUAGGGGUUCUGAGAGGAAGGUCCCCCACAUUGGAACUGAGACACGGUCCAAACUCCUACGGGAGGCAGCAGUGAGGAAUAUUGGUCAAUGGGCGGAAGCCUGAACCAGCCAAGUAGCGUGCGGGAUGACGGCCCUAUGGGUUGUAAACUGCUUUUAUACAGGAAUAAAGUUAGCCACGUGUGGUUAUUUGUAGGUACUGUAUGAAUAAGGACCGGCUAAUUCCGUGCCAGCCGCCGCCGUAA
rnacentral:rRNA from 1 species